rnacentral:rRNA from 1 species
UGGGGAAUUUUGCACAAUGGGGGAAACCCUGAUGCAGCGACGCCGCGUGAUUUAGAAGGCCUUCGGGUUGUAAAAAUCUUUUCUAUGGGAAGAAAAUGACAGUACCAUAGGAAUAAGGACCGGCUAAUUACGUGCCAGCAGCCGCGGUAAUACGUAAGGUCCGAGCGUUGUCCGGAAUCAUUGGGCGUAAAGGGUACGUAGGCGGGUAAGCAAGUUAGAAGUGAAAUCCUAUAGCUCAACUAUAGUAAGCUUUUAAAACUGCUCAUCUUGAGGUAUGGAAGGGAAAGUGGAAUUCCUAGUGUAGCGGUGAAAUGCGCAGAUAUUAGGAGGAAUACCGGUGGCGAAGGCGACUUUCUGGCCAUAACCUGACGCUGAGGUACGAAAGCGUGGGGAGCAAACAGG